rnacentral:rRNA from 1 species
GACGAACGCUGGCGGCGUGCCUAAUACAUGCCAGUUGAGCGCUGAAGGUUGGUACUUGUACCAACUGGAUGAGCAGCGAACGGGUGCGUAACGCGUGGGGAAUCUGCCUUUGAGCGGGGGACAACAUUUGGAAACGAAUGCUAAUACCGCAUAAAAACUUUAAACACAAGUUUUAAGUUUGAAAGAUGCAAUUGCAUCACUCAAAGAUGAUCCCGCGUUGUAUUAGCUAGUUGGUGAGGUAAAGGCUCACCAAGGCGAUGAUACAUAGCCGACCUGAGAGGGUGAUCGGCCACAUUGGGACUGAGACACGGCCCAAACUCCUACGAGAGGCAGCAGUAGGGAAUCUUCGGCAAUGGACGAAAGUCUGACCGAGCAACGCCGCGUGAGUGAAGAAGGUUUUCGGAUCGUAAAACUCUGUUAGUAGAGAAGAACGUUGGUGAGAGUGGAAAGCUCAUCAAGUGACGGUAACUACCCAGAAAGGGACGGCUAACUACGUG